CACUGCUCUGGGGUAUGUUGCCAGCAACCUGUAACUGAUGACCCUGGCCAAACUCACGACUAGGUUUGCCUACUGCUUCCUGUGCCAAAUGUAUCUGGAGAACAGCUGUCACGGCUCCUGGUGGAUGGCAUGUGCUGGGGACUGGGAAAGGAACCUGCCUUCAGCCAGUUUGUGCUUCUUCAGAAGAGGGAAUGCAACCCUCCUACCCGGGCCAGCCUGCCGGCCACUGCCCCUCCGUGGGCACAGUAUGCAGUUCCGACCCCGCCCACAAGGUGGCAGCAGGUAGCAACUCCAGGCAAGCAAGGACCAAUCCGGGUGUUGUUGGCCCAGUCGAUAAGCCUUUAUUGAGCGCCGUGGAGACGCUGAGGAGAUAAGAGCACCUGCACUCCCUGAAAAUCAUAACCACACCGUCUUGUUAUCAGAGGCCCUGGCGGCUACCGACCCCAAGAAGCCAAUGGAGGAGCUAAGCAGUGAAAAACCGAGAAAGGGACAUAUUCAGUGUGGCUACAUUGGAAAGGUCGACAAAUAAAGAGGACCGGAGACCCCCAAAUCCACUUUCAGACUGAGGUUGAAGCUUAAUAGAGGUGUGUGCAGUCAGGCGGUUCCAUUGAGGCGCAGGCCCCAGCGCCAUCUGCAGGGCCGCCCAUCGUGAACCCAGUGCCAUCUGUAGUGCGGUCCAUCAUGGAUCCAGCGCCUUCUGCAGUGCCUUCCAUCCGGGCCCCAGCGCCUUCUGCAGUGCCUUCCAUCCGGGCCCCAGCGCCUUCUGCAGUGCCUUCCAUCCGGGCCCCAGCGCCUUCUGCAGUGCCUUCCAUCCGGGCCCCAGCGACAUCUGCAGUGCGGUCCAUCAUGGAUCCAGCGUCUGCAGUGCCUUCCAUCGUGAACCCAGCGCCAUCUGGACUCCAGUCUCUCCCGUGUAGAAACUUCUUCCUGGGGGACAUUUCCCCUCUGGCUGGCACCAGACUUCAGCCUUUUUCUUCUCCAAGCAUGCGACUCCUGGGGGCCGGGGGGAAUUCCAAUUCCUCAGACAGUUUAUCUCAAUAGUCUGAUAGCCAAAGGGAGGGGCACAAGUGUCCCUCCAGAGUUUUUAUGCUCCUGCCAGGGUGGUUUCCAUCUUGCUCCAAGCGCGCCAUGCCAUGAGCUGACUGUCACAGGUGGGGAGAUUGAGACAGAGAGACAAUCGUAAGCAACUGAUCAGAACACAGAGCUGAGGAGGCCAUGGUACCCGGGAGGUAGCAACUCAUUCAUUCAUUCACUCAUUCAUUCAUUCACUCAGGAGCAGUGGCACAUGCCUGUACUACCAGCUGCUCUAGAGGCUGGAACAGGAGGAUUGCUUGAGUCCAGGAGUUUCAGACAACAGCUUAGACAACAAAACAAGACUCUAUCUCUCAAAUAAACAAACUUAA